CAGUUUAGGGUGAGCUGAAGUGGACCGGGCGGCAUCCCUUUCCGUAGACCUGUCACUGGUUGAAGACCGAGCCAGAGUUUCUAAAUUAUGACAGGGAAGAACAAGAGCACCUGCAGCCUAGAGUCCUAGAUCUGAGAUUGCAGUGCAGAGGGAUCGACCCAGCCCAGCAUAAUUCUCUCAGGGAAUCGAGCUAUAGUUGAAAGAAGAUAGACUGGGAAGUAGCGCACCUGGUUGGGCACACAUGUUACAAUACCAACGACCAGUGUUCCAGCCCCCUGUUCCCACCUAUAGGAGAAAACAGUGAAGCAGGGCUGCAAGUUUCUCUUUGUCUCCUUUUUUUUUUUUUUUUUUGCCUCCAGGGUUAUCGCUGGGGUUCAGUGCCUGCACUAUGAAUCCAUUGUGCUCCUGUGGCCAUUUUUUUUAAAUAUAUAUUUAUUUUAUUUAUUUAUUCCCUUUCAUUGCCCUUGUUUUACUGUUGUAGUUAUUAUUGUUGUCGUUGUUGUUGGAUAGGACAGAGAGAAAUGGAGAGAGGAGGGGGAAGACAGAGAGAGGGAGAGAAAGACAGACACCUGCAGACCUGCUUCACCGCUUGUGA